UCUGGAAAUAAAAACUAGCCCAUGGCAGAACUUCACAAAAGGAAAAGAUCUCAGUAUUGGUCUUGUCUUAGAUUGGUAGGAACUAAGAAGCAUCGGAAUAAUAAAAACACAAACUUUUAGGAAAAAAUAGUUUUCAGAACAUUUUUCCUUUUUACAGAAACAAUGCUAUGCCACCACCACCAUCAUCCCCGUCAUCACAGCCAUCAUUACCACCAUCAUUAGUAUUUAUGGACUGUUAUUGUUUAUAUCUAGAUGUCCCCCAAAGCCUCCUGUGCUGCUCAUUGGUGGGACUUCGGGGAGGAGACUGGAUCGUGGGUGUGUGAUACUCAUCCCUGGAUUAGUACACUGAUGGGUUUAUGACUGGGGGUGAUGUUGGCAGUUGAAGAGGUGGGUCACUGGGGGCAUGGCCUAAAAAGGUAUAUAUCCUCCUCCUCCCUUGAUCCCUCUCUGCUUCCUGCUGCUAUGUCAUAAGCUGAUUCUCCUUCCAGGCCCCUCUGCCAUGCCACCCUACCUUGGAGCCAGCCUACUAUGGACUGAAACCUCUACAGAUUGUGAGCCAAAAUAAGCCUCUCCUCCUUUAACUUGUAGUAUUGGGUAUUUUGUCCUGGCAAUGACAAAGUAACUAAAACAUGGACUAAGCACUGUACUGAGUACAAGUACUUGUAUAUCCCUCGCACUGUUUCACUUAACCCUCCCUAGUGAGAGGGUAUUUAUAUAUCAAUAUCAGCUUCAUUUUAUAGUUGAGAUAACUUGGAAAUUAGCUAACUUCCUCGAGAUCCCACAGCUAGCAAGAAGAAGAAUCAGGAUUUGAACUCAGGCUAUUUGGCUUCAAAUCCCCUUUUCCAUUUGUCUCUUUAAAAAAUAGUUCUUCAUAAGAAACCAAGUUCAUAUUUAUAAGCUGUUAUAUCCCUAUUCUUUUUUCUAAAGCCCUACAUAGCCUUCUUAAUAUUUUAUUUCCUACAAUUUAAAAAAUUCUAACAUUCUAGGAAACCCAGUAUUUCUUAUAACUGGAAUGCAUUAAGAAAGAUAAAAAAAUCCUUCUCUCUCUCUCUCUCUCUCUCCCUCUCUCUCUCUCUGUCUCUCUCUCUCUGUCUCUCUUUCUCAAGGUGGGGUCUCAUGCUAUAGUUCAGGCUACCCUUGAACUCACUAUGUAGCCUAGGCUGGCCUCAAACUCACAGCAAUCCUCCUCCCUCAGCCUCUCCAAUGCUGAGAUUACAGGUGUGUACCACUGGGCCCAACUUGGAAAUUCUUACUGUUGUACUGUCAUAAAAGAACACAGAUUUUCUUACUGUUUUUCUCUUUCUUACUGAGUUUUAAGAAAAUUCUUAUUAAUUCAAUUUUAAUCAUAACAUUAAAUUGAGCUUAUUUAAAUACACAUUAAUCUUA
ensembl:lncRNA